rnacentral:pre_miRNA from 14 species
UUCUCUUAGUCUUGAGUAACUGUUGAAAGACCCCCGGAGUGGGGAGACCCUCACUCAAGUCUCAGGAUGAUGCGACCCCCCAAGAACUCACGUGAGACC